CUGAGAGGAUGAGAAUCUCCGAAGGAGGUUUGAGCCGAGCGUAGCGAGACCACGUUGCUUUAGCAACGGCCCGCAGGGCAAGCAUCGAAGAUGCGCAUAAUCCUCUCAU
rnacentral:sRNA from 1 species